ACAUCUCCCUCUCCCUUAUAUCCAAAUCUUUCCCUUGGGAGUAACAGCUUUAUAGUUGAAAUCCCAUCUCGAGGAGGGGUUUUAGUCGGUAGGCGUUACGGCGAAUCCGACACUACCCCCCUUCAGGGGGUGUCUUUUGAAGAUUUUCCCUCCUCGAGGCUA
rfam:Agrilus planipennis Contig19802, whole genome shotgun sequence.